CACUGAGAAGAGAAAGAGAAUUCUCAAAGCUCAGAAGAAUGUCCGGGAUGAUGCCGACACCCUGUCCAGACCCCGGCCGAGAUAGAUGAAGGAUUCCUCUUGACCCACCCUCAGUGGGAUCAUAACACGGCAUGAGCCCAGCUGAAGGUUCUUGAAGUCAUGAGGAAAGAAACCUGGGAGCAGUUGAAAGAAACCUACGCUGCUGGUGACUUACAGGUUCCACA
rnacentral:lncRNA from 1 species